CAGCAGGCGCGAAAACUUUACAAUGCUGGAAACAGCGAUAAGGGGACCUCGAGUGCCAGGUUACAAAUCUGGCUGUCGUGAUGCCUAAAAAGCAUUGCAUAGCAAGGGCCGGGCAAGACCGGUGCCAGCCGCCGCGGUAACACCGGCGGCUCGAGUGGUAACCGUUAUUAUUGGGUCUAAAGGGUCUGUAGCCGGCCGGAUAAGUCUCUUGAGAAAUCCAGCAGCUCAACUGUUGGGCUUUCAGGAGAUACUGUCUGGCUCGAGGCCGGGAGAGGUGAGAGGUACUUCAGGGGUAGGGGUGAAAUCUUGUAAUCCUUGAAGGACCACCAGUGGCGAAGGCGUCUCACCAGAACGGACCUGACGGCAAGGGACGAAAGCUAGGGGCACGAACCGGAUUAGAUACCCGGGUAGUCCUAGCCGUAAACGAUACUCGCUAGGUGUCGGCCACGGUGCGACCGUUGUCGGUGCCGUAGGGAAGCCGUGAAGCGAGCCACCUGGGAAGUACGGCCGCAAGGCUGAAACUUAAAGGAAUUGGCGGGGGAGCAC
rnacentral:rRNA from 1 species